rnacentral:lncRNA from 1 species
AGCUUGGAGUGGCACCCUCCAUUCACGAUCUUGCUGUAUUGUAUAGCACUGGAGCCAUAGCUCAUGCGAUGGAACUGAGUCCCAUCAGCAAAUUUUGCAUCGCUUACUCCAUAUUCAGGAGAUCAUGGAUGAGGUGACAUCGAGCUUUAGGAGAUCGAUGGAAAGGAGAACAUGACCGACCCAUUUACUGAAGUCUUUCUAUCAAGGAGUUUUGAGAUUAUAAAUUGAAGAUGGGUAUAUGAUACUAUACUGAUUG